ACUAAACCUAUGUCUUCUGAAAGAACAACAGUUAUCUUAGCCAUUGAACCAUCUCUCCAGCCCCGCAAAAUGCCUCUUAAUGACUGCCAGAUAGUGUCACUUUAAGGAAAAUUCUUCCUUAAAUGUGUAUUAUGAUUGUGGACUCCUUUGAGGGAAUGGCAGGAGCCCCUGCCUCUCAAGUGCUGGGAUUAAGGAUUUUUUGCCACCACUGCCUGGUGACCUGCAGCUUUUAUGCAUGCGGAAUCACAAACUUACAAAACUAUCCACUGUUGAAGGAAAACUGGCACAAGUGGGUGUGAAUGUAGAUAUGUUCUCAGAAGCAUGAGGGCAGAGUUUUGCAGACUUGUUUGUUGUUUCUAGAAAGGGUUUGGGGGUUGGAGAUCUAGCUCAGUGGUAGAGCAUGGGCAAGGCUGGGGGUUGAAUCCCCAGAACUGCAAGAAGACAGAGGCAGAAGCACAAUUCUGUGAACAAGUUGAGUACCUGCCUCAGCAACUUCGCCCAACAUCACUCCUGUGUGGUUUUGCCUAUUCCACUCUUCCAUGUGCAUGUGUGUUUAUACUAAUUUUACUUGUUUCUAUAUCAACAAUUAGACUGGGAUUUGAGCUGUGCAUCUUUACUGUCUCUCUUUAUACUUUCAGCCUUUGCUGAAAUAAGGCUGAGAAUUCUCACUUUGCUUGUGAUCUGUACGAAUGUUUGCUGCUGAGUAAGAGCUCAUGAAAUGAACUAGACUAUACGUUCAUCCAGGGACACAACUGUGGUUUCUGUUUGUUUCCAUUUAGGUUAAAUAACCAAGAAAUGUUGCCAAAUAACAGAGACUCAGCUGUGAACACAAGAGCACACACUGGAACUGGCUUAUGAAGUGCAAGCCAGCUGGCCGCUUUAGGAAAAGUCUUAGGAAAAAAUAGCCCUUCCUCAUCUAAGUCAGAAAUGGAAAAUUGAAUCUCCAGGCUUAACUGGCUUCUUUUUUAUCUCGUUUGUUUGUUUGCUUGUCUGAGGUAUACUUUGCUGAAUAAUUGUGACGUCGAGAGAGUAAAACCAAGUGUGGCUUUCAAUAAAGCAUUGCUGCAACCCUCUCAACCCACUAAGGAAGAACCUAUAGAUGAAACAUUCUGUAUGCAGGCCAUGGCAGGUGACAGGAGGCAACAGGAACCUUCCUGCCUGAUUGCCCUAGUCCACAGUGGCUUCAAGAUGAAAUCCCACUGAGAGGCAGCCCUGAGCAUGCACAUAGAAGCUGAAUGUGAGAGAGAUGGUCCAGUCUUCAUCAUAUGAAGCAGAGCUCGACUGUGAAAAGGUGCAAGUAUUACUGAACAAAACGAUGGUUCACUUCGGAUAAGCAUUCAAUAAGAUGAUUUGCAGAACCUGGGUAUUUGAUAUGCUGGGAAAUUGCUCCUAUUUGACCUCAUACAAAAUGGAGUUUCCCAUGGUAAGUUUGAAGGUAUCUUCCAUGUUACUCUUUUACGGUAUGAUGUCUGGGAGUCUUUCAUUCAAACUUCAUCUCAUAGGGUCAUAUAUAAGGGAACCUUAAAAAUAACCUUUUCAUGGGACGUAAAUAGAACCUCACUUAUCCCAUAGUCUACCUGGUGUUUGGACUAUAGUGAUUCUGAAGUGUGUAUCUGCGCAUAGAGUUGACACAAAUUUAAUUCCCUGCUAAAUCAGGAAAUAAGUAUUUGACCUUUGUUCUUGUUACUGUCUUGGUAAGUUUAGCAAAUGGAUAUUAUCUUUCAGUAGCAAGAAUUGCUAACUAUUUAAUGGCAAUCAAUAUAUUACAUGAACUCUAAAAUUAAUGCCUGGCAGAGAGGAUGGUUAAAAGAACAAUAUACUUUCAACGAAUGAAGUUUGUGACUUUGGAACGUAACUGCAGUAUUAGACAGGGAAAUUAGGCAUUUUUCUUGACUUGUCAUGUGUUGUAGUUUCUUUUUGAGACAGGGUCUACGACAGCCUGUUGAAUAACUGGACAAGUAUGUCCACCAUCACUCCUGGCUAGAUUUUUCUUUUGACUGCAGUAGGUGUCUGUUCUGCUUUGCUGGAGAAUUUUCCAGAAAACAUUUUUACAAGGAACACUUUUUAAAAAAGAGUUUAGAAGGUGCAGAAUUCACAGUCACCAACGGGAGAAAGCAGCACAGGGGCUUUCUACCAUCUACUGAUGAACACCAUCUACUGAUGAACAGAUAAAGCCAAUGUGGGAAAUUGAUAGGACAGAAUACACCAUCACUGUAUUGAAAUUCUUCUUCCAUAAAACUUAAAGACAUUAUGCAAAGUGAAAUGACAAUUACAAGAGACCAAUGUCACAUGAUUCAGCCUUUGUGAAGUGGCCGGAAGGGUCACGUUCACAUCCAUACAACGCGGAAUGCUGGCUUCCAGGGAUAGGAGAAACGGGAAAUGAGAAGUUAAGGUCUAGUGGACACAGAGUUUCCACUGAGAGAUGAAAAUGUUCUGGGGGUGGAUUAAGGUACUGGCUGCACAGCAAAGUGAAUGGAUGUAAAGCCACACAAUAUCUGCUGCUUAAAACUGGUUAAAAUGGCAAAUUAUGUGUUACAUAUAUUUUACCACAGUUUAGAAAAAUGAAAGGACAAAGUUUAAACUUAUUUCAAUUAUAUCUUCAUGCUUGGCCUUUUUCUUAAUUUCAGAUGGGGUAAGCUCAGCUUUCCUAAAUUCUAAGUUUUUACUCCUCUCAUAUUUAGUAGCAUGUGCGUGGAAGCUUUCUGUUUGUUUUAGCUUGUGUAUCUUUCUUGGCAGGCCCUUCAUAUUAGGAUACACCAUUGUGCCUUUGAAUUCAGAACUAGCAGAGUUAAUUAACUUUGAAUUUAUUUUAUAAUUUCAAGUGUUAAAUAUAAAUUUAAAAGAGCAGUAUUCCAUCUUUGAAAAUUGCCUUUUGGAAACAUGUAUACAUCCCCAUUUACAUUAAAGAUAGGAACAUUCCAUGGCCUUUUGUAUUUUGGAUAUAUUUAGAGGUUCAUGUUUAGGUAGUAAGUUGAAGAUACUUACGAAAUAGUUUCUUCCUUGCUACAGCCAAUCUCUCUAACUGUCUCCCAUUUUUCCUAAUAAUGUUUAACUGUUUCUGUGUCACUUUUCUGUAGUGCCUUAAAAGUCUUAUUUUUCCAAUUUAUUUUUGUCAUAAUAAUUUUCAAGAUUACCUUUUUGUGUCAAAAUUUCAAGGCAAUGAUACCAGUGUGGGAAUAAUUGUACUGUUGUUGCUGAAAUGUACAAUAACCUAUCAGGUGUUUAUAAUGAAGCUUCCCCUCCAAACGCUUGUGUGACAUUUAUCUCAGGCAUUUACACAAUGAUGCUAAAAGGUAGGUGAGUGCCCAGGAUUGAAAGUAUCCAGGCAUAUUAUUGAUGGACUCUAAAAUUCUUUAGCAUGAGCCUUUUAAUGUUAAUACUUACUAACAUUCAUUUGAAAAUGUCAGGAUUGUCUAAUUUUAGAGAUAAAUCAAUUUAGGAUAAAACAAUUGCUGCUCGGAAUACUUAAUAACUCGUGAUGCUGCCUUGAGUUUAGAGGUGGAAACUUUCAAGGUGCAGGCAGAAAUGCACACGGCAGCUUACGGACAGUUCAUAAGGGGUGAAUAGCAGCAGAGCCAGGUUCACCCAAAUCUAUUUCAAAACGGAGAGUUUGACAUAUUCCUCAGAGGCCAUCAUCUCGGUGAGACGAAUUCCGUGGUGGAGAGUUCGUGUCUGUCGUCCAGAGGGUCAGUGUUUCCUCUCAAGUCUUGUGACUGUCCUUCCAUUCAAUACGGGUGGAGGACAAAUGUUUUUUUUUUUUUUCAAACGAUGAGAGUAUCCGUUCUGUAGUUACUGCUCAUGAAAGCUAGGCUCGUGGGGCCAGGGGACAAGAAAAACAAAAGCACUUCAAUCAAAGAACUCAAAACCUUUGUUUUCACAGCCUCGUGGCCAAUUGUAUUAGACUCGACCUUAUAUGUGGAUGUUUGUAGCUUUCACUAAAAAUACUAGCAUGUGACUUCAGGUGUCAGUGCAAAUCCUUCCAUGUGUGUCAGAUGCUUCUGAAUUCCCAAAUACCCUUGGCUAUAAGAUCUGUAGGACGAUCUUAUAUAUUGUCCUACAGAUAUAUAAGAUCUACUGUAAAUCUCAAUACUGCCGCAACUAAGUAAUGACAGUAUCUCCUGAAAUAUGUGUUGUCUGGAGACUGUGGAGAUGGCUCUUCAGCUAAGAACAUUGACUGCUCUUCCACAGGACUCAGUCUCUAUUUCCAGCACCCAUGUCAGGUGGCUCACAACAGCCUGUAACUCCA